CAUGCUAUUGCUUACCCUUGCAGCUUUCCGUUGUUCCCAAGAGUUUCUUUAAUCCAGACUUUUCUUUAAAUGAGAGGAUGUUUCACUUUGAUUUUGGUUUUUUUACAUCUUCCAGACCCCAAGAGAACUGAGCUAAAAAUACACACGUGGCGUCAGGUAUCCACGUAUAGUUUUUACGCCCCUGAACAGCAAGCAGUAUGACAGUGACUGAAGAUGGAAAGAGAAAUCUUGUACAUAUAUUUCCAUUUAACAGAAGAAGUACACCAUAUUUUGCUUAUUCUGAAGCUUACCUGAAUUCAUCCAAAACCCCUAUAAGCCUGAAGACUUUGGGGGUUUUUUGUGAAAUUCUGACUGUACUGGGGGGGUUGUUGAGUAAGAUGUACUCCAAAAACUCUUUUUCUCUCAUUUUUUCCACUCACUUCAGAAAACCACAAUCAUGUAAAAAUCUGCAGGAAGCGUGAGGUGAAUCUCCGGUCUGUGAAGCCCAGAAUCAGAUUGCUUCAAGUGCUGGGCAGGGGCUCGGGUGGCACCAGCACCGCGCUGGCAUUCUCCUUUACCACUCGUGACGCACAAUAAACAUAACUAGGAACGUGAGUUAUUUGGGGAUCUCGUCAGGAAAGGCUCGAGUACGGGGCGCCCUGCCCACUGCUGCUCGUAUGCAAAUAAAACAGCGGUUCGGAAYCAGUGCUAAUAUCAGAUCAAUCUUGAGCUUCAGCAACCCAGAAUUCUGGCACAACAAUUGGACAAGAAAUGUCACUACAGGAAAAGACCCUUCCCAAGGAAGUUCUGGUGAAGGCAGCGAGUCUGAAGGUUUCUCGGCUCUACAGAAGAGGGACAACAUAAAUCUUGUAUCUCCCAGAAUAUUAUCCAUUUACAAGCUGAAGUUGAAGGGAGGAGAAAAGAGCAGAACGGACAGAAUGGUGGAGGAGCAAACGUACCCUGCUGCAAACAGCUCCUGGCGGGUCCCCUUUGCUCACCGAGCUCCUGGAGAAAAAAAACGCAGCUUACACCUUUGCGAAGAAAGAACAAAAAAGUGUUCUCUUUCCCUUCUUCCCCAUCUAGAAAUAAGUCAUUCUAAAAUUCUUGAGGUAUUUAUCCACUGGAAAAAAAAAAUCCUACGUCUCUAG
rnacentral:lncRNA from 1 species